ACCCGGAUGGCGGAAUGGUAGACGCGCUAGUUUCAGGGACUGGUGUCCGUAGGACGUGCAAGUUCGAGUCUUGUUCCGGGUA
rnacentral:tRNA from 1 species